GUUGUAGUUCAGCAACAUCUAGAGGGCUGGAGUUUGGAAAGCCUGGCUUUGAAACAUGCAAACAUUGAUAAAAUGAGGAGCUUUCAUUUCAGUCCUGCUAUUUGUGGUCUCAAUGUUGCAAAUUAGUUGCCAAGACGACAUAACUGCCCCUGAUGUCUGUUAAUUGGGAUAAUUGAGUCCCAGCUGUGCAUAGUGAUCCAAUGAUUAAUGGGCGGUCCCAGCUGGGGUGGGUAUAAAGUCUGAGCACUGAAGGUAGGUAAGUUACAGCCUGGUGCUUGUUGUUUUGGUGAGUCAGUGACUGUUGGAUGGGUGUACUUGGUUUUCAGUAAUUCAGUAAUUCAGUGGUGUUGAAAUCUUGGGGUUUAUGUUGUUUCAUAGUCAGCAGAUGCUCAG